rnacentral:rRNA from 1 species
AUUGAACGCUGGCGGCAGGCCUAACACAUGCAAGUCGAGCGGAUAAAGGGAGCUUGCUCCUGGAUUCAGCGGCGGACGGGUGAGUAAUGCCUAGGAGUCUGCCUGGUAGUGGGGUAUAACGUCCGGAAACGGGCGCUAAUACCGCAUACGUCCUGAGGGAGAAAGUGGGGGAUCUUCGGACCUCACGCUAUCAGAUGAGCCUAGGUCGGAUUAGCCAGUUGGUGGGGUAAAGGCCUACCAAGGCGACGAUCCGUAACUGGUCUGAGAGGAUGAUCAGUCACACUGGAACUGAGACACGGUCCAGACUCCUACGGGAGGCAGCAGUGGGGAAUAUUGGACAAUGGGCGAAAGCCUGAUCCAGCCAUGCCGCGUGUGUGAAGAAGGUCUUCGGAUUGUAAAGCACUUUAAGUUGGGAGGAAGGGCAGUAAGUUAAUACCUUGCUGUUUUGACGUUACCAACAGAAUAAGCACCGGCUAACUUCGUG